rnacentral:tRNA from 1 species
CAGGGUAUAGCUAUAAAAUAAAGCAUUCAGCUUACACCUGAAAGAUAUCUACUUUACACAGAUUGCCCUGA